AUAACUCUGCAUGAGCCCAAGGCUCCACAUGACCUCUAACCGUGUGAGCACCGUAAGCCCAUAUGAGGCUGAGGGCAGUGAUGGGUCUGUUACUGGCUAGGUCAGGAAAGCCAUCAUAGAGCAGCGCCAUCACUGCCCACGGCCCAUGGCCAGCAGCAGUUCCACCACAAGCUGUGUGUUGGGUCAAGGCAGCUCCUAGGUGUUGCUCUGCUUCAUAGCUGCCCCAAAGUGCCCCUGUAGCCCUCCCAUAGGUGUCCUUUAACUGCCCCACCACCCCGUAAGGCUUCCCCACGUCCUAGCACAUCCCCCCACGUGCGUGCAGGGUGUGCAAGAAAUGCUCUCAUCCCUGAUAUUCCAUCAGGCACAGCUCUUCGUGCAGCAGCAAAGCUCCUUCCUGAUUGCUGUGGCGUUACUUCACUCUCCUCAGUGAGUUCCUUCUGCUCCCGUUGGGUUGGUUGAGUUGGGUUUGUUGGGAUGAGGUGGGGGCAGGGAUCCCAGAGUUCUGGGGCCACAUGGCAUCGGGUCGCAGCGUGUUGGGGGCAGGAAGGGUCAGGGAGUCACAGGGUCUUGUGGGGGUGUGGUUCACCCAGAGCUGUGGGUCACGUAUAGCCAUGGGGUCACGCACAUACAGGGUGAUGAGAUCAUCUUGGCUUAUGGCUCGUGUGGGGUUACGGCUCAGGGCCCCACCUUUGGGCUGCAUGGACCCCCAGUCCCCUCUCAGGAAGAAAUGAAACCCCUCCUACACCGCUGCCCCCUUCCCCCCUUUUUUUUUUUUACCUCAAACUGCUCCCCACAUCCUCCCAUAGCACCCCAUACUCCUGCGUUCCUCUUGCAGCGCACAUCUUGUCUUCUCCUGAACAGCAUUCUGCUCCUGCAGGCUGUGUUGUCAUAUCCAUUCUAUAUCCCCCACAACCUCCCCCACAUAGCUCCUCAACUACUUUCUCUGACCCGGUACACCUCCCCCUCCUCCAACCUGGGACCUCACAGAGCCCCACAGUCCCCAGCAUCACCCCACGUCCCCCACGGUUCUUCAAGGAUCCCUCCGAUUUGAGGGAGGCUCAGACCUCCCUUUAUGCCUCAGACCCCUCCUGUGUUCUCCGACUCCCACAGUCCCUGACAGGACCCCCAUCACCAUCCCAGGACCCCCAUAGCCCACUGAUGAGGAACCUUGCAGCAAUCCACAUCUCAGGAUGGGCCUCCAGCUGUGCCCCAAUGCCUUCAUUAAAGACAGGAGAAUGAAUGAGC
rnacentral:lncRNA from 1 species